UGCUUGGAUGGACCACGUAAGCAGGUGAAACUUCUUAGAGGAACUGGCGUCCGAAAAGGCGCACGAGAAAGAGCAAUAACAGGUCUGUGAUGCCCUAAGAUGUCCGGGGCCGCACGCGUGCUACAAUGACGAUGCUACUGAGCAUGAUUAACUUGUCCGAAAGGAUUGGUGAAACUGUUCAAUCAUCGUCGUGACUGGGAUUGGGGUUUGUAAUUAUCCCCCAUGAACCAGGAAUUCCUAGUAAGCACAAGUCAUAAGCUUGUGCUGAUUACGUCCCUGCCCUUUGUACACACCGCCCGUCGCUACUACCGAUUGAAUGGUUUAGCAAGGACAUUGGAUCGAGCCUUUGCGGUUCACGCUGCUUUGGUUUGAGAAGCUGUCCGAACUUGAUCAUUUAGAGGAAGUAAAAGUCGUAACAAGGUUUCCGUAGGUGAACCUGCGGAAGGAUCAUUACCAAGUUUCCUAAACUCUGCACUUGGCAGACUGGGCUCCGGCUCGGCCUGCUUUGUGUCGGCCAUCCUUGAGGGAAUAUGCCCACUCGAUGGUCACCUAUGGUACAGAAAUGGGCUGCACGGCACUGCCUGUAACACUUCUUACGGUCUGUUGUUCGUGCAGUACAUACACCGGCCCUAUGGGUGGGCCGCUUGGCUGGUACAGUUGUAACGGGCUGUACUAUGUCGGGCGGUCAACGUAAACUCGUCCAUAGGCAAACCGGCACGUUACAAAACUAUCUCCCUCCGGGUGAGUCCUGUUUGUGCUAUUAUCUAUUUCCUACUGGUUUGAACGGUCACGUCGUUGGAAGUAGGUCGACUGGUUCCGUGGUAAUUCGCGUGCUAUGGUCGGCUGAAAACAUAACAGGGGCCGGGAAAA
rnacentral:rRNA from 1 species